rnacentral:misc_RNA from 1 species
UCCGGCUUAUCACCGGCAGUUUCCUUAGAGUUCCCAGCAUUACCUGAUGGCAACUAAGGACGAGGGUUGCGCUCGUUGCGGGACUUAACCCAACAUCUCACGACACGAGCUGACGACAGCCAUGCAGCACCUGUCACCGGUCCAGCCGAACUGAAGGGGAUCGUCUCUGAUCCCCGCGACCGGGAUGUCAAGGGCUGGUAAGGUUCUUCGCGUUGCCUCGAAUUAAACCACAUGCUCCACCGCUUGUGCGGGUCCCCGUCAAUUCCUUUGAGUUUUAACCUUGCGGCCGUACUCCCCAGGCGGAGUGCUUAACGCGUUAGCUACGACACCGGAGCAAAGCCCCAACAUCUAGCACUCAUCGUUUACAGCGUGGACUAC